AUUGAACGCUGGCGGCAGGCCUAACACAUGCAAGUCGAGCGGAUGAAGGGAGCUUGCUCCUGGAUUCAACGGCGGACGGGUGAGUAAUGCCUAGGAAUCUGCCUGGUAGUGGGGGACAACGUCCGGAAACGGGCGCUAAUACCACAUACGUCCUGAGGGAGAAAGUGGGGGAUCUUCGGACCUCACGCUAUCAGAUGAGCCUAGGUCGGAUUAGCUAGUUGGUGGGGUAAAGGCCUACCAAGGCGACGAUCCGUAACUGGUCUGAGAGGAUGAUCAGUCACACUGGAACUGAGACACGGUCCAGACUCCUACGGGAGGCAGCAGUGGGGAAUAUUGGACAAUGGGCGAAAGCCUGAUCCAGCCAUGCCGCGUGUGUGAAGAAGGUCUUCGGAUUGUAAAGCACUUUAAGUUGGGAGGAAGGGCAGUAAGUUAAUACCUUGCUGUUUUGACGUUACCAACAGAAUAAGCACCGGCUAACUUCGUG
rnacentral:rRNA from 1 species